rnacentral:misc_RNA from 1 species
CUCCAACCACCAGCCAGAGGUCUCUCACUCUAUCUUCCUUGCAAACAUAAAACUGAAACCACACCACCAAACCCAAACACGACAGAAGAACAGCCGAAAACAAACCUUUCAUUUCCUCUCUUUUCCAUUUCCACCAAUGGCCUCCUUAUCCCUCCUCUCCCCUCCCUCCACCUCCUCAUCCUCCCUCUACCAUAAUGCCUCUUCCCUCCUUCCCCUGCGCACCCGCUCCCUUAGCCUACGCACUCCCACCAAGAACUUCUCUAUCAGAGCCCAAUCCGCCCCUAUACUCACCCAAGAUGAACUCAAGAAACUUGCAGCCGACAAAGCCGUUGAUUACGUCAAAUCUGGUAUGGUUCUCGGACUCGGUACUGGCUCCACCGCCGCCUUUGUUGUUGCUAAGAUCGGAGAACUCCUACAAUCCGGCCAAUUAACUGAUAUUGUUGGUAUACCCACUUCAAAACGCACCGAAGAGCAAGCUCGCUCUCUCGGGAUCCCACUCUCAGUGCUCGAUGAUCAUCCCCGUCUAGACCUCGCUAUAGACGGUGCUGAUGAGGUCGACCCUGAUCUCAACCUAGUCAAAGGCCGGGGUGGGGCUCUCUUGAGAGAGAAAAUGGUGGAAGCGGCGUCUGAAAAGUUCGUGGUUGUCGCCGACGAGACGAAACUGGUAACGGGUCUUGGCGGGAGCAAGCUCGCAAUGCCGGUGGAGGUCGUGCAAUUUUGUUGGAAGUACAAUUUGGUGAGGUUGAAAGAAUUGUUCAAUGAAGAAGGGUGCGAAGCUAAGCUAAGAUUGAAUGAAGCUGGCAAGCCAUAUGUGACUGAUAACUCCAAUUACAUCGUGGAUUUGUAUUUCGAGAAUCCAAUUCAAGAUGCAUAUGCAGCUGGAAAGGAGAUUUCGGCUUUUGAAGGAGUGGUGGAACAUGGGUUGUUUUUGGAUAUGGCGACUGCGGUGAUUAUUGCUGGGAAGAGUGGAGUGGAGGUCAAGGCCAAGUGAUAUUUUCAAAGGAGGUAGUGACAACUGAAUCUCUUAUCAUCUGCUGCUUUGCUAUUGUUGUUGUUAAUUAUUUUGAUGGUGAUUAGUGAAAACUGUUUAGAUGGGCAUUGUCUAGCUGGUUCCUGCUUGUUGGAAAUUUUUUUUACGCUAUGUGGUUUAUUGGGCACCAUGAAAGGACUUUGCCCAAUUAGCAUACGAAUGGAGAUGUGAAAUUAUGGGAAAUGAAUGAAAUUUUUUCAUGCUUAUAUUGUUCAUGUGCGACUACAUUGUUUUGACAAGGUCUUUUGCGCCCAUGGGAUUCAAGAAAUAAAUUGCUUACGGCAACAUUUUGUGCUUCUGCUGUUUACUCUGUUUUUCAUUCCCUUUGGUUGUUAUUCCAUAUAGAGCAGUGCCUAAAGCAACAGUCCCUUCUACUUGUCAAACCGAUGAGGGUAUUCUUCACUAUGUUAUUUGUGCCUUCUACUACUGUCCAUGUGAAGUAAGGAACUGAGAAUUUCAAAUGGAGGGAAUCCUGAAUGUCAAAACUGUUCUACCUGUAAUUUGGCUUAUUGGGGGUUCCUUUGUGACUUUUUGUUCAUACAAGUGCCCAUUUGUCAUCAUUGGAUUGCUUGUAACUUUUGGUGUACCGUUGCUAAUAAUCCUGAACUGCUGUGGUUAAAUAGGUUUACUGAGGUUAAAGAUGGAAUCUUAAUUUUGUGGACCAUGUUGCAACUUUUAGUUAAUAACUAUUUUCUUGAGGGAUUGAGCAAUUUAUUAAUCGCAAUUUUUCCAAGAUCAAAGGAUGGCCUUCCAUUAAUUGUUUUCAUUUUUGCACCAUGAUCUCAGAUAUAAGAAGGCAUAAGGGUGCGUAAGUGUAGAAGUGGUUGUAUUCAUCAGUUACAAACGUGGAGAAUAUGGAAAUGGAGAUUUCAGAUGUAUGGUCAUAUUUUGGUGGCAAAUAAGGAAAUUUCUAAAUACCCAUGUGACAGAAUUGGGAACUCUACUCAGAUGAUUUUCCAGAGUGCAUUGUGAUAUGUGGGACAUUGUGUUUUGUGAAUUCCAAGAAAAUGUCAACGUAACUGUAGCAUAGGCUCUAGAUCAGGAAAUAUGAAAGAAAAACAAAAGUUAUAGAAUCUUAUUAUUGCUUUUUUUUUUUUCCUGUUAUGUUAACAUGACUUUAACACCAGCUUUUAGGUUUAAGGAGAUUGAUUGAUCAUCAAAGCCGAAGGUUUUAGUAUGAAAAUGUGAUAACAAUAGAUUGUUUGAUCACUCCCAACUUGUUCUAUGGUUGUGUUGACGUUUGGAGUAUUUUAUGUAUUCUUCCUUGCAAGGGACAUCUUGUUUGAUUCUAGAAAUGAUUUUUUAAAAUAUUUUAAUCAAAUAGCGAGUAGCAACUAACCACAGAUUGAAAAUAACCAGCUAGUAGUUGUGUAUUUGCUCCGUUCAGCAAGCCUAAACCUUUUGCUUUGAUCUUGAUGUGAUUUUUUUUUAAGGCAGAACCUUGGUUAUUCUAUCCCCAGUUGCUUUCUGACUUAUCAUUCUUUUAUCUUUUCUUGUGAUAACACAAUUGUUUGAUAUGGACUUUUUCACACCUUAUGGAGAAGCCUUCUCUUGGGGAAGGAAGUAAAGGGGAAAAUUGCAUUUAGCAGUGUCAACUGUCUGAGUUUAGCCCAUUGAUUUUAUUGUUAUUAAAUUUUUAUUGCUAAUACAGUCAAAUUUGCUUGAAUGUAUUAAACUCUAUCAUCAUUCAGAAGAAUCAUGUUGCCUAGAAGCUGCCCGGACCUUGUUAUUUUAUCUUCUCUGCUGAUGAGAUUGAGUUUUUUUUUUUUUCUUAUGACAGGGACUUGUAUACACCUAACUCUGAAAUGUUUUGUUAGGAAGAAAGUGGAAGGGGAAAUUUACAUGUGGCUGAGUGUAUUGCUAAUAACUUGUUGCAGUUAAAUUUUCUCCAGAAGUAACAUUUUAUCCAAUACUCAAAUCAAUUUCUUAAAUUUAUAUAUACAUACUAUUUUUUAAAACAUACUAAAUAUUUCCUUAAUAAAACAAGAAUUUAGAGAUUGUAUGUGAAGUGUAAACACAACCAUAUAUGCUCAAAACAUGUGUCCUACAUAAAUAAAUCACCCUCUUCUGUGGUCUAUUUUUUAUUCAGUACAAACUGAAUAUACACACAAGAAUCGAUAGAAUAAUCAAAACCAAGUAAAUUUUAUUUUUAAGUAUAAAAUUAGUCAAAUAUGGAGAAAACAGUGGCUGGUGAGGCACUGUUUCACUCUUAUAUGCGCAGAACCAUAAGCAUAGACACGAACAAUAUGAUCAUCCAGUGGAACUUCCCUGGCAGAAUUGAGCUACCAUGAUUCCCUGCAGCAGAAGAACCACCAGCAGUAUUAUUUGUUGCCUGUGUAUUUGAAACUUUAAUCCCAAGGCUAGCACAAUCAGAACCAAGGGUACAUUGGCUAUAGCAUGGGAAGUAAGGGACGUUGAGAAGGUUAGAGAAUCCAGAGUGGCAUGUGCAUAAGUGGGUAUACGUUGCAUUCCUUGUGCAGUUCCCUCCUCCACAGUAGAUCCAAUAGCAAGCUACAUAUACAUAAAAUCAGGAGUCUACUUGGUUAAACUUUCUUCAAAAACCUGAAUAUGAGAAUAGAGAAGUGUGAUAUAAUUAUUGGCAAUUACGAUCGAAGGCUGAUGCAUUCCAGGGAACAGGCUUCUCUGGAGCUGGUUUAGGGGGAUCCUGGCAGUUACCAUAGUUGAGAGUACCUGCAAACAAUUAAGAUCAAGAAAAUGGAUUACAACCAUGUGCUUUAUUAGUUCCUGAUCAGAGAUCUUGUAUGCAAGUUUUGGUCAAUUAUCAGAAAGAGAAAAGCUUACAAUUUGGGAUGACACAAGGAAGGAACGUGAGAUUAUUAUUAAUAUCAUCAUUUGUGGUUCUGGUCCAACCACGAUCACAUUGGCACUUGUACCCUAGUGGGUAUGUUAUGUUUGCUACGCAUGUUCCUUUCCCACAUUCCACUUCAUCGCAUAUUUUCUCUGCAAGUCACCAAAACCCAUCAUGUAUCCGUCUUACGAGUUCAAAUCCUAGUUUAAGUCUAAUAGAAAAAAAUCAUGCAUCUUUAAGUAUUCAUGAGUGUAUGUGUGUGUUUGAGAGAGAGAGAG